rnacentral:lncRNA from 1 species
UUUUGAAGGAGAUCAAAUUUAUAACAAAAUAAUUUAGUGAAAGUGAAAGCUUGUGGAAGAUGUUGGAAUCAUCCAUCCUGAAAAUUGAAGUCUUCUGUUUAUCAACAGAACAGCUAAGAAGCUAAUCUAAGAAUGACCAGCACCUGAAAGAUGUAGACAACAUUUUGCAGAAUGAUAAAUGGUAUCCAGUACUGGACUGUGUCUGAGAGGCAUCAACUGAAUGUGGAUGUUGAUGACCUGGACUGUCAGGGUCCACCUCUACCUCCCAGAGUCAGAGCCCACAAGACAAAAUAAUUCUGAAUACUGUUCCAUGGGGGUAAUCUACUAAUUCAAAAUGCCUGCCUGUGCCAAUUUUCAGGUUUUUAUGUAGAUAAGUAUUAGUUAACCUGUUGCAAAAUGAUCUGACAAACAGAAGCAUUUGUGACGUUUCUGAACAGAGAACACUUUGGAAAUAUUUUUUGUGUGACAUGAUUGAUAGAUACAUGCUAUCUCUAGUAAAUCUAAAAUCUUGAAACUCAAAAUCAUCCUUUUAUGGGUGUAGAAGUCAGUGAUUUAAUGAUGCUCUUCCUAACAGUGGUGUGCAUGGAAAGGUUUUCAUUAAAGAGCGUAUGUGGUUUGCAUUUGCAAGAUUCAACUAGCACAGACUCCAAGAAAACCUAAGUUUUUUUGUUUUUUAAAGCAGGUAAGGCCAGGCACUGUGGCUUACACAAGUAAUCCACACACUUUGGGAGGCCGAGGUGGGUGGAUCACUUGAGGUCAGGAUUUCGAGACUAGCUAGGCCACUAGCUAGCCUAACCUGGUGGCACGUGCCUGUAAUUCCAGCUACUCAGGAGGGCUGCCUCAUCUUGAAC